ACGCUAGCUACAGGCUUAACACAUGCAAGUCGAGGGGAAACGGCGUUGAGUGCUUGCACUCUUUGGACGUCGACCGGCGCACGGGUGAGUAACGCGUAUCCAACCUUCCCAUUACUGUGGGAUAACCUGCCGAAAGGCAGACUAAUACCGCAUAGUCUUCGAUGACGGCAUCAGAUUUGAAGUAAAGAUUUAUCGGUAAUGGAUGGGGAUGCGUCUGAUUAGCUUGUUGGCGGGGUAACGGCCCACCAAGGCAACGAUCAGUAGGGGUUCUGAGAGGAAGGUCCCCCACAUUGGAACUGAGACACGGUCCAAACUCCUACGGGAGGCAGCAGUGAGGAAUAUUGGUCAAUGGACGGAAGUCUGAUCCAGCCAAGUAGCGUGCAGGAUGACGGCCCUAUGGGUUGUAAACUGCUUUUGUAUGGGGAUAAAGUUAGGGACGUGUCCCUAUUUGCAGGUACCAUACGAAUAAGGACCGGCUAAUUCCGUGCCAGCAGCCGCGGUAAUACGGAAGGUCCAGGCGUUAUCCGGAUUUAUUGGGUUUAAAGGGAGCGUAGGCUGGAGAUUAAGUGUGUUGUGAAAUGUAGACGCUCAACGUCUGAAUUGCAGCGCAUACUGGUUUCCUUGAGUACGCACAACGUUGGCGGAAUUCGUCGUGUAGCGGUGAAAUGCUUAGAUAUGACGAAGAACUCCGAUUGCGAAGGCAGCUGACGGGAGCGCAACUGACGCUUAAGCUCGAAGGUGCGGGUAUCAAACAGGAUUAGAUACCCUGGUAGUCCGCACAGUAAACGAUGGAUGCCCGCUGUUGGUACCUGGUAUCAGCGGCUAAGCGAAAGCAUUAAGCAUCCCACCUGGGGAGUACGCCGGCAACGGUGAAACUCAAAGGAAUUGACGGGGGCCCGCACAAGCGGAGGAACAUGUGGUUUAA
rnacentral:rRNA from 1 species